rnacentral:rRNA from 1 species
ACACGACUACAUUAGAUACCCGGGUAGUCCUAGCCGUAAACGAUACUCGCUAGGUGUCGGCCACGGUGCGACCGUUGUCGGUGCCGUAGGGAAGCCGUGAAGCGAGCCACCUGGGAAGUACGGCCGCAAGGCUGAAACUUAAAGGAAUUGGCGGGGAGCACCACAACGGGUGGAGCCUGCGGUUUAAUUGGACUCAACGCCGGGAAGCUCACCGGAUAAGACAGCGGAAUGAUUGCCGGGCUGAAGACCCUGCGUGACCAGCUG